AGUGAACGCUGGCGGCAGGCCUAACACAUGCAAGUCGAACGGAGUGGCGGACGGGUGAGGAAUACAUCGGAAUCUACCCUGUCGUGGGGGAUAACGAAUGGAAACGUUAGCUAAUACCGCAUACGAUUGGAUGAGCCGAGAUGGGAUUAGCUAGUUGGUGGGGUAAAGGCUCACCAAGGCGACGAUCCCUAGCUGGUCUGAGAGGAUGACCAGUCACACUGGAACUGAGACACGGUCCAGACUCCUACGGGAGGCAGCAGUGGGGAAUAUUGGACAAUGGGCGAAAGCCUGAUCCAGCCAUGCCGCGUGUGUGAAGAAGGUCUUCGGAUUGUAAAGCACUUUAAGUUGGGAGGCGUUACCAACAGAAGAAGCACCGGCUAACUCCGUGCCAGCAGCCGCGGUAAUAC
rnacentral:rRNA from 1 species